rnacentral:rRNA from 1 species
UGGGGAAUUUUGCACAAUGGGGGAAACCCUGAUGCAGCGACGCCGCGUGAUUUAGAAGGCCUUCGGGUUGUAAAAAUCUUUUCUAUGGGAAGAAAAUGACAGUACCAUAGGAAUAAGGACCGGCUAAUUACGUGCCAGCAGCCGCGGUAAUACGUAAGGUCCGAGCGUUGUCCGGAAUCAUUGGGCGUAAAGGGUACGUAGGCGGGUAAGCAAGUUAGAAGUGAAAUCCUAUAGCUCAACUAUAGUAAGCUUUUAAAACUGCUCAUCUUGAGGUAUGGAAGGGAAAGAGGAAUUCCUAGUGUAGCGGUGAAAUGCGCAGAUAUUAGGAGGAAUACCGGUGGCGAAGGCGACUUUCUGGCCAUAACCUGACGCUGAGGUACGAAAGCGUGGGUAGCAAACAGG